GGGUUUGUGGGGGUUUUUAGGGGGGGCAGUUUUUUUGGUGGUGUGUGUCCCCCCCCCCCCCCGGUUCCUUUGCCUUUGUUUGAUGCCGAGUUUAGAGGUUGGGGGAUUCCCCCCUUUUUCUUUUCUCCUUUCCUGAAAGAACGGCUGUUCUGUUUGCUUGGAAGGAGAAACCUAUCCGGGGGGUAGGGAAAAAAAAAAACAACCCCAAUAUUGGCAAAUGUUAUUUAUUUUCCUUUUGUAUCCAGCGCACUACCAGCCGAGCCGACAGGCAGCCUGUGCCCUGUGCUCUGCCUGCUGCUGACACACCCAAGUGUCAAAAGAGCGCCCCCACCCCAUCCCGUCCCCUCACCUUUUUCAGGGGGGAAGGAGGACGUGGGAGCAGGCAAGCGGGCCCUCCAGAGCGGGACACACCAUGAGGCGCGCGUCGCCCGCCUGACACGCGCUUGCAGGCCCAGCCUGGGCCAUGGGCUCGGGCGUCCCAUGGCGGGGGUCGGUCUGCCCGGUAGUUGGCGCCCAGGGGGCGAGGGCAGCCCAUGGCGACAGGUCUACCCUGGGUCUCUGUAGGCUUAGUCCGGCCGGGACAACAGGUCUACCCUGUGUCAUCCAGAGGCUAAGUCCCACCUGGGACAACAGGUUUACCCCAGGGCUGGACGCCUGGCUGAGGGGCGGAGGGGCAAGGCCCGCUCCGUCCCUCGGCAGGUCGAGGAGACCCGGUGCACCCGGCACCCGCCAGCACGGACAGGAGGGCUUGGCCCGGGCCAGCUAGGGCAGCCGCACGAGCUCUCUCUUAGAACCGGCAGCGCGGUGCGCGGCGCCUGUGGCCUCGCCACUGCUGCCACUGGCCGCCCAGCCAGAUUUUUAUGAAUUAAAAAAUCUCUGUCCCUACUUACUAUGAGCUACCUAACUGGCUUGUGGCUUCCCUACCAACCUAGCUACCAUCAAGUUUAUUGGAAAAUAUACAAAAAAGUAUAAAACCUUUUACAAAAAUGAAAUACAAAGAAAAAUAGUACAAACAACAAAAACAAAUCUACAAGAAAA